AUUGAACGCUGGCGGAAUGCUUUACACAUGCAAGUCGAACGGCAGCACGGACUUCGGUCUGGUGGCGAGUGGCGAACGGGUGAGUAAUGUAUCGGAACGUAUCCAAUAAUGGGGGAUAACUCGUCGAAAGAUUAGCUAAUACCGCAUACGCCCUACGGGGGAAAGCUAGGGACCUUCGGGCCUGGCGUUAAUGGAGCGGCCGAUAUCUGAUUAGCUAGUUGGUGAGGUAAAAGCUCACCAAGGCGACGAUCAGUAGCUGGUCUGAGAGGACGACCAGCCACACUGGAACUGAGACACGGUCCAGACUCCUACGGGAGGCAGCAGUGGGGAAUUUUGGACAAUGGGCGAAAGCCUGAUCCAGCCAUUCCGCGUGAGUGAAGAAGGCCUUCGGGUUGUAAAGCUCUUUCGCAAGAGAAGAAAACUUACCCUCUAACAUAGGGUGAGGCUGACGGUAUCUUGAUAAGAAGCACCGGCUAACUACGUGCCAGCCGCCGCUGUAA
rnacentral:rRNA from 1 species